UACGUAGGGGGCAAGCGUUGUCCGGAAUCAUUGGGCGUAAAGAGCGCGUAGGCGGCCCUGUAAGUCCGCUGUGAAAGUCAAGGGCUCAACCCUUGAAUGCCGGUGGAUACUGCAGGGCUAGAGUCCGGAAGAGGCGAGUGGAAUUCCUGGUGUAGCGGUGAAAUGCGCAGAUAUCAGGAGGAACACCGGUGGCGAAGGCGGAUCUCUGGGCCUUACCUGACGCUGAGGCGCGAAAGCUAGGGGAGCAAACAGG
rnacentral:rRNA from 1 species